rnacentral:rRNA from 1 species
AUAACUAAGCGGAGGAAAAGAAACUAACCAGGAUUCCCCCAGUAACGGCGAGUGAAGCGGGAAGAGCUCAUGAUGUAAACCCGGCCCUCGGGUCGGGUUGUAGUCUGGAGAGGCGUUGCCAGCCGGCGGCGGGGUCGAAGUCUCUUGGAAAAGAGCAUCAAGGAGGGUGACAAUCCCGUUCCGGUCCCCGCUCGUUGUGCGUACGGUGCGCUUUCUACGAGUCGAGUUGCUUGGGAUUGCAGCUCAAAGCGGGUGGUAAAUUCCAUCUAAAGCUAAAUACCGGUGGGAGACCGAUAGCGAACAAGUACCGUGAGGGAAAGAUGCAAAGAACUUUGAAAAGAGAGUUAAAGAGUGCCUGAAAUUGCUGAAAGGGAAGCGAAGGAAGCCAGUGUCUGGCGGUUCUGCUUCUCCGACGGUCUCCGGACCGUCGGGUUGCGCUUCCGCUGUUGCCAGGGCCGGGUCGGGCCGCGGGAAUCGGCGUCCCUGGGAGGUACGCCUCUUCGGAGGUGGAAUGCCGGGGUGCUCUCCGUCGCGGCCUUGGGCUGGUCCUGACAAAAUGGCUUUCUUCAC